rnacentral:rRNA from 1 species
AUUGAACGCUGGCGGCAUGCUUUACACAUGCAAGUCGGACGGCAGCACAGAGAAGCUUGCUUCUUGGGUGGCGAGUGGCGAACGGGUGAGUAACAUAUCGGAACGUACCGAGCAGUGGGGGAUAACUAAUCGAAAGAUUAGCUAAUACCGCAUAUUUUCUGAGGAAGAAAGCAGGGGACCUUUGGGCCUUGCGCUGUUUGAGCGGCCGAUAUCUGAUUAGCUAGUUGGUGGGGUAAAGGCCUACCAAGGCGACGAUCAGUAGCGGGUCUGAGAGGAUGAUCCGCCACACUGGGACUGAGACACGGCCUAGACUCCUACGGGAGGCAGCAGUGGGGAAUUUUGGACAAUGGGCGCAAGCCUGAUCCAGCCAUGCCGCGUGUCUGAAGAAGGCCUUCGGGUUGUAAAGGACUUUUGUCAGGGAAGAAAAGGGCGGGGUUAAUACCCCUGUCUGAUGACGGUACCUGAAGAAUAAGCACCGGCUAACUACGUG